rnacentral:rRNA from 1 species
AGUAACACGUGACUAAUCUACCCUCGAGUGGGGAAUAACUGAGAGAAAUCUUAGCUAAUACCGCAUAACACUUACGAGUCAAAGCAGCAAUGCGCUUGGGGAGGAGGUCGCGGCCGAUUAGCUAGUUGGCGGGGUAAUGGCCCACCAAGGCGAUGAUCGGUAUCCGGCCUGAGAGGGCGCACGGACACACUGGAACUGAAACACGGUCCAGACUCCUACGGGAGGCAGCAGUGGGGAAUUUUGCGCAAUGGGGGAAACCCUGACGCAGCAACGCCGCGUGGAGGAUGAAGUAUCUCGGUACGUAAACUCCUUUCGAUGGGGAAGAUAAUGACGGUACCCAUAGAAGAAGCCCCGGCUAACAUUCGUGCCAGCAGCCGCGGUAAUACGAGGGGGGCAAGCGUUGUUCGGAUAUAUUGGGCGUAAAGGGUGCGUAGGCGGUUUAGGCAAGUCUCGUGUGAAAUCUAUGGGCUCAAGCCAUAGCCUAGAACGAGAAACUACCGGGCUUGAGUGAUGGAGAG